rnacentral:rRNA from 1 species
CCAAUAGCGUAUAUUAAAGUUGUUGCAGUUGAAAAGCUCGUAGUUGAAUUUCGGGAUCAAAUUGUCGGUCGUGCCUCGGUACGCACUGGUAUUAUUGGUUCCUACCUUCUGACGAACCGCGAUGUCAUUAAUUUGGUGUCGUGGGGAAUCAGGACUGUUACUUUGAAAAAAUUAGAGUGUUUAAAGCAGGCUUACGCUUGAAUACAUUAGCAUGGAAUAAUGAAAUAGGACGUUUGAUUCUAUUUUGUUGGUUUCUAGGAUUGACGUAAUGAUUAAUAGGGAUAGUUGGGGGCAUUAGUAUUCAAUUGUCAGAGGUGAAAUUCUUGGAUUUAUUGAAGACUAACUACUGCGAAAGCAUUUGCCAAGGAUGUUUUCAUUAAUCAAGAACGAAAGUUAGGGGAUCGAAGACGAUCAGAUACCGUCGUAGUCUUAACCAUAAACUAUGCCGACUAGGGAUCGGAUGAUGUUAAUUUUUUAAUGACUCAUUCGGCGCCUUACG